rnacentral:rRNA from 1 species
GGGCAGCAUGGCUGUGGCAAUACAGUUGAUGGCGACCGGCAAACGGGUGCGGAACACGUACGCAACUUACCCAAAACUGGGGCAUAGCCCGGGGAAACCCGGAUUAACUCCCCAUAAGAUCAUGGUCUGGCAUCAGGCAGUGAUUAAAUCUCCGGAGGUUUUGGAUGGGCGUGCGGCCCAUUAGAUAGUUGGUGAGGUAACGGCUCACCAAGUCUGCGAUGGGUAACUGGUGUGAGAGCACGACCAGUCACACGGGCACUGAGACACGGGCCCGACUCCUACGGGAGGCAGCAGUAAGGAAUAUUGGUCAAUGGAGGCAACUCUGAACCAGCCAUGCCGCGUGGAGGAUGAAGGCCCUCUGGGUUGUAAACUUCUUUUAUAAGGGAAGAAAUGCAGACAUUCUUGUUUGUUUGACGGUACCUUAGGAAUAAGCACCGGCUAACUCCGUGCCAGCAGCCGCGGUAAUACGGAG